CUGAUGCUCAUGAUAUAUAAUACAAUACCAUUUUCAUCUUUUGGCUUGCUACAUCCAGCACGUCCAAUGUCGGCGCAACUUGAAAAUUAUAUGCAUCUUGUUAAUUUACGGCAUAUGGUUCAUAUUAAUUGCGGAGAACACAAGAAUCAAUUGAAAGUCAUACAUUCCAUUAUAAGUACAAACGGAAAAAAAAAUUGAAAAUGAAGAUACUAUUGAAAAAUGUACUAUAUGUUUAUCUGAAUUUGAAGACUGUGAAAGUGUCAGGAGGCUUCCAUGCAUGCAUUUAUUUCAUAUAGACUGUGUCGAUCAGUGGUUAUGUACUAAUUAAUGCUGUCCUAUAUGUCGAGUGGAUAUCGAAAUUUUUCUACACAAGAAACUUGAAAACACUGCGUAGUUGAAAGCCGAUUUUAAUCAUUUGUUUUUGUUUUUAAGCAUAAUUAGAUAAUAUGCUCAUCUAAAUAUUUUAAAAAAUCUUAUACAUGAGUAAAUCUUUUU